rnacentral:lncRNA from 1 species
UUUUUUGGGAGGGGGGAGAGGGGUUGUUGGUGGUGGAUUUAUAUAGGUGUAGAUCUUCAUCUAACAUUUUAUGUAGAACCUCUUCAUGUAACUUGGAAGUGUUUAUGAUGGUUUGUGGCUUCUGAAUACAUUAGACAAUUUUUGGGUCAUUUUUUUUAGGGCCAUGGCUUGUGGAUUUAGAGUUAUGCGUAAGCUAAGUACGCUAUUUCCUUCCACAUUUUAUUUUUUCCCAUCCUCAACCCUUUUUGUGUGAUCAUUUCUGGCUUCAGUUGUGGAUUAGAUGUGGGUUGGAUGUUAUGUAAACAAAGAUAUAAACUACGGGGUUAGUUCUCAUCAUUUCUUUUCCUGCCUGUAAGGUUUGAUGAGUUGCCUGAAUUGUGGAAUUGGUUCUUGCGAUUGAUAUGUCUGCUAACAUAGUGCAUCAUUGUCGUCACUGUCCAUAAUACUUACGUUAGUUUUCAUUUUUAAAUAUACAAAUCAGCCUCCGUUCAUCGUGCAUUUAUUAUAAUUGAUGAGGUGACGAGCACCAUUUGUGGUUUCCUUGGUCUUUUGGAAGAGCUAGAGCUUCUGUAGUGAUUUGCUUUGCCUAAUAUUCUUGAUACUUUAGAGAACUGAAGUUGUUUUAAUGGCUAUAAAUAACAUGACUAAUAUUUUGAAAAUUCUCACCUGAAGCCAUCAUAUUUUGUUUUUGAUGGUAGAGCAUUGCUCUUCUUUAGUGCAAGGUUUUGGUUCCCCAUUUUCCCUGCAGUUAAGGUGGAUGACUCGCUUUUUUAGGCUGAGUUUGAUGGCCUUGGACUUGGAGCCUUUUGGCCUAUGUAACAGUACCCUUUGUCCCUAAUCAAAAUGAAAAAUAACAAUCAUUUAAAUUGUUAAUCACUAUUUCUAGGAGUUGCCAACCUUAGGAACUUGCAGGCCUCAUAAGAUUAUUGACAACAAAGUGAAGCAUUAUGUGAGGAACUGAAACUCCAUUGAUGCCAGCAUUAUUGACAAAAAAAAUUAUGAACUCAAAGACCCCUAACAUAAUGCAAUCUCUGAUUUCAAUUUUCUAGUUACUAUUAUAUGAACAUCUCAGAGAAGGAUUUGUGCAUGAAAUUUGCCAUCAUCAGAUAAUUUCUGUGUUGAUCCAUUUCAACAUCCAUUUAUUAAGAUAUUCAAGUUUUGUGGGAACUAGUCAUUGGCUCUAUACUAGCUCCACUUCCCUUCUUCCAGUACUUUUCCCUCUUGCUCCUUUUCUCUCGCUAUUUAACGCCACCAUGCUUCUUCUUUGAUGCUGUUCUGCUGCCAACAUUGUUUACCAGGUAUGUCUUCUUUGUCACUCCAUCUCACAUGUUCCCGUCUCGUCUCCACUUGAAAUUCCAAUAGAAGCUUCUGUUUUGGGAAUUUAAACCAGAUGCUAAAACUGGUCUAGUUCAAAAUAUUUUGUGAACUUCUUUACUUAUUCUUCUAAUUCAAAUUGUUUUUUCUUUAAACACCAAGCAUGUUGGAACAUGUAGAGCUAAAUGAUGCAUAUCAUUUAAUUGAUAAGGCAUUUUGGAGGGGUGUGUGAUGUAGAACAAAAAGAGAAGUAGAGAGAGAGGGAGAGAAAGCAAGAGAAGAGUAAGAUUAGAGAGGGGAGUAAGAGGUUAGAAGAGAGAAGAUGCAAGUUUUCUUCAUUCAAAUCUGAACUGUUUCAUCCAUUGACAAGCUCCACUAUUUAUAGGAUUUGAGCAGUUUUAGUACAAUCAAUGAAGAUACUGAUGCUCAAGAGUAACCUUCUAGGCUGCCUCCUUUGAAUUCUAGGGUACUUGUAUGCCUUUUGGAAACCCAUGUCUUAUAGGAGGCCUAAAUAGUUUUACAAAAUUUAUCAGAGCCGAGAAGAAAAGAAAAGGUGCACUGAAUAUGAAAGUAAGGUCCCAAGGUUAAAACCCAGAAAGACCAAAAGAAACUUCAUUUUUCCACAACUCCUCAUUUCUAGGCUAGCUGAUUGAUGAUAUUUUGUUGAUUCAUCCUCUAAUGUGGGAGAUUCGGGAGCUAUGAUCUUGGGACAAGGUUAAUAACAUGUUGGAUUUCUCGUAAGGGUGAUAAUUCACUAGGUAAUUCCGAAUGUAUUACAUCAGAAAAUUUAUCUAACAAGGAUUUAACCUCAGGAGUUAGGUCAGGAGUAGUGUAUAAGGGCUAGGAAUAUCUAUAGCGAUGAUGGCCUUACAAAAAGACUUGGGACCUAGUAAGUGGAGUUCCUUGGUGGUUGAGGCUUGUGGAAGGGACUUGAGAGUUCCUGAUUGCCCUUUUUUUGUUUGUUUCGUAGGUUGCAGGAUAUGUUUUUACCUUUAUACCAAAAGACACAUGUGAUUCGUCUCCCAUGAUUGAUAAUAUCAAGGUUAUACAGCCAAGGCCGACCUAGAAAGAUGAGGGCAACAUCCAUCUAAUAGAACAUCGCAAUAAAUCCUAUCCUGGUAAUUGCCUGUUUUGAUUGGUACCAGGCAACUCUUAAUCAUGGGCAAUGUGGUUUUGUCAACCCAGACUAUCUUGAAUGUCUUCUGAUUUGACUCUACCUUAAUGUUUAAACUCUUUUGAGACUACUACCCCCAUGUAUAACCAACUUGCAUGUUCUCUCUUGCUUUGGAUAAAAGUAUAGAAGAUACUUGUCCUCUUCCAUUCGUUAGAUACACUAGCAAUAGAGAGAAUGAUGCAGGUAACAUUGACAUGGUUAUCAAGUUCUAUUUUGUUUUUAUCAGCCGAGUAGGUUUCGGGUUCAACUACUUGGCCUACUUCAAUUUGAUCCUCUGGUUCUUGUUUUAAGGUAAGCGUACGUUUAGGACAAUGAGAGACAAUAUGACCUUUAUUAUGGUAGUAGUGACAUCAAAUUGAACAUGAACCGAUUUGAGAAUCAAGUGAUCGAACAAGUUGGAUGAAUCAUGAUUAGGCUAGGGGUGUUGCUGGUCAUGGGGAUUUUCGGUUUUGACAAAGCCACCACUUUAGGUAGAUUGAGAAUUGGUUACAUUGUUGAAAGAUUGAGAAGAUGCUUGACAAGUUGGAUAUCGUUGAAGUUUCUUCUCACUCUUAAUGACUCGUCGAGAAACUUCUUAUAUGUCAGGAAAACUAAGUGAGACUUUUCGUUAGAUGUCAAGUGUUAACUUGUUAAUUAAGUUUUGGACAGUGAUGAUUUGGUCCUCAUCAAUUUCACACCUAAGUAAAAAUUACUUAAAUCGAGCCAAAUAUUUAUCCACACUAUAACUCAACUGCUUAUGGUUUAACAAUUGUUCGAUCAGUCGGCUUCGAAAGUAGGUUGACAAAUAAUUCUCUCUAAAAGUAGGUUGGCAAAUAAUUUUCAUAAGUUUUGUUUCAUGACUUUUCGUCAAGUGAUGAGAGACUUACGAAAGUGUUCAAGACUAUGUUGGACAUGUUGUCAAUACUUCAUAGCAGACCCUAUUAGUUUCAUUUUUGCAAACCUCACAUAUUCAAUUUCACUCAUUCCGUACCACUCAAAGUAGUCAUUCAUGUUAUCUAACUAGUCAGUAGAGACAUUUGGGUCAAACCUAUUAUUAAAGUUUGGCACAUGCACUUUAACUCUUCUAGCCAUUUCCCCUAGGUUGUUAGCAAAUUGAACUUGUUGGCCCAUUACUUGGGUUUGUGGAUUUCUAGUAGGGUAUAUGAAUUUAUCAUUAAGGUCAAAAGUUUGAUCAUCGAGAAUUGUUGGAGCAUAGUUGUGAACAGGUGAUCCAUAGGGUAAAUCUAGGAUUCGUUCGAAGUGGAGCUUGGGGAGUAAACAAAAUAACUCGAUUUAUAGUUAUGGAUUGUGGAGAAUGGUUAUAUUGCCUAAUCGACUCAUUAACCUCCUCAUUCAUGGGUCACUUUUCAAGAUUGAGGACUUAGUUCAGUUGGUCAGAUAACUUGUUCAACAUUGUGUUGUGAUCUAACGUUGUAUUGUGAUCUGCUUGUUUGGUCCUAAGGGUGUCUACCUCACUCUGUUAGAUUUGGGAAUCAUCAAGAUUGGGUUGAUUUCUACCUCGCCUAGCUAUGAUUUUUAUGCUAUUGACAAAUUGUCUUUUGUUAUUGAUGUUAACUGCUACAAGGUAGAGGUGUAAUGAUUCAAGUGGUUCUUACAUUUUUUCUCACUUUUUUUUGGGUGGGUGACAACUUUGAAGGUUUUAAAUUUUAAUGGUACCAUGGUUAAAGGGGGGAGAGAGAGAGAGGGUGAUAUAUAAAAAAAGGGGUGAAAAUGGGGGAAGAAGUGAUGAAAGCCACCAUAUAACGAAAUAUACUUUUUUCUUGACAAAUACAUGUAAAGUUUUCAAAAAUUACCAAGCAUCAAAUUCUGUAGGGAUGCUCACCCCAAAGUCCAACGCCACAUGCAAGGGGUUGACAUUGGAGGUGCAAGGAUAUCGGGUUUCUUAUUAGGCUCUUACCAACUAAUAUAGAACAAAAAGAGAAGUAGAGAGAGAGAGAGCAAGAACGUAAGAGAGGAGUGAGAUUAAAGAGGAGAGUAAGAGUCUAAUGCAAAAGUUGAGAAGUAGGGAACACGUAUUCCUUUUGGAAACUCAAAAUGUAACUUCUAGAAGACAUAAAUAGCUUUAAAAAACUUAUCACACAGUUGAGAAGAAAAAAAAGGAGCAGUUAAUGCAAAAGUUGGAUCCCAAGGUUAAUACCUAGGAAGACCAAAUGACUCAUUUAUCUUUCUGCACAACUCAUAGAGUUUCUAGGCUAGAAUAAACCCUUCUAGAAUAUGUUUCUGCUCUACAUUAACUAGAGCUCUUGGAUUAAUGUGUUCUUUUAAUGAUUUAUAAAUAAAUUGUGUUUAUUGUCAUUUUUGUUAAUUGAGUGAUCUAGAGAUGGCUAGUUAAUGAUGUAAAACUCAUGUUUUGAUUGAAAUUUUUACAAUGAUUAUCUUUAUGGUUAGAUUUUUUUACAAUUUUUAUAAGGUAAAUAUCUUAUUUUGCUUAAGUAAGCGCUUACCUAAGUGCUGCAAGCGCUUUCAAUAACAUUGGCCUUUUGAAUUAUUUGUACAUUUUAGUAGCCUUACAUAUGCGUUUAGUAGUUCCUUUUUUUUUUUUUUUGACAAUUAUAGUUGAUCCUAAACUUUGUUUUUUCAUGUAUUUAGACUCCGAUAGUUCUAGCGAGAGCGAAUCGGAGGAUGAAGUUACCAUUCCGAAGAAUGCUAAGGUAUGUUCCAAAAUUUGCUUUCUGGACCAUGAAUAUAGUGUCUCUAGAACUAAUUUCCCCUCUUCGUUGAGUGCUCUCUUUUUUUUGCACUGUUUAGAAAUGUGUUCUUCUGAGAAAAAGAGUUAAGGACUGAAAUUUUUUAUUCCUGUCCUCUAUCAG